rnacentral:lncRNA from 1 species
ACCUUAUUAAGGGUCACAUGCACUGGUCCAGUGCCACAGCCUUGCACUGGCAAGAGUGUUGUAGUAAAAAUUGUAAGUGAUUGCCCUGGAUGUGGUGUAACCAUGGAUCUCUCUAAAGAAGCCUUUUCAAUCAUUGCUACUCCUGUCACUGUCGAAAACAUUAUUAAGAUCGACUACGUCAAGUAAGUAAUAAUAUAUAUAUAUAUAUAUAUAUAUAUAUAUUAUCCAAAAUAUUAAAUUCAAUUAAAUUAUUUAAUUAUAUACAUGCCACAUCUGCUACUGAGUAUAUUGUUCUAUGGUUAUUAGGGUGUCAUAAGAGGGCAUCAAAGAUGGCGCAUGGAGCUUCAUUCUAUAUUAUAUAUAGCAUGUAGAAAGUAUACUCCAUAGUGAAGUUGAAUUGAUCAAUAAUUCACAACUUGAUGCAUGUACUUGAUCAAUUCUAAGAAUAAAAGUUCAUCUUUUCGUUUUCUUUUUGUUUUAUGUUGGAAAAUAUUUCGAGUAAGCUUUAUCAAGGGCAAGUCAUUUACCAUAUAUUUCAUAUCAUAAGAUCUUGAUAAUCAGAUACAGAAGAUAAUCCAGAAGAGUAAUUUUUAAGUAACGUAUAUUCAUGAUAUUACAUAUUUUAUGUUGGUAAGUAAAGUUUUAUAUACCAAUUGAACUUUACAAAACAGAAAUAAAAUAGUACUGACCACACCAAACUCAUAAACUCUAUCUACAGCUAUACGACAAGCCUCUUUACUACAACAACUCUACCAUUUCAUCAAGGAUAAAAACUCUAAUGCAACUAAACUUCGGUUGCAUUAGAGGCUAGUCAUGACUAAAUUUCGAUUGCAUUCGAUUUUCUACCUAGUAAUCCUCUCGCUAUGAUUCGUCAAGUAAUCCAAAAUUGAAGCAAGCUAGCAACUAGCAACUUAGAAGACCCCGACUUAAGCUAAAACCAAACAUUUUUUGCAAGUGAGAUGAGUAUAGAAUGAAAUCUCCAAUACUGCCGUAGACUAGGGACAACCACAGUAUCAAUCAGCUAAAGUCUUCUGUGGCUCUAAAUUGCUAUGCACUACUUUAUUCAGUAACGAAAUUUUUAAUACAAAUUCAGGAUCUAGAUAAAAGCUACUGGGGUUCGCGGAAACUCAUAAUCAUUGUGCUGGAUCUACCCCUAGAUGCACUGCAAAGCAACUCUUGCUAAAUUUGUCAAGAACCAUUUUUAGAGGUGAUUUAGGGAGAAACGGAUUCUAUGCUCCUUACUAAAUGCAUACUUGGAAAUUAGAAACCCUUUUAGAGGACAAACAAUUAUAUUAGGGAGAUUCAAAACCUAGUUGAAAAGCAUGAACUCAACAACAAUCACUGCUACAAAGAGGUCAACAAACAACAACAACAAACCUAGUAUAAUUCCACAAGUGAGAUCUGGGGAGGAUACGUAGUGAGUAUGCAAAUCUUACCCCUACAGUGAAUGUAGAGAGGUUGUUUCCAGUAGACCCUUGGCACGAAGAAAAAUGAAAAUAGAACAAUAAGAACAAAUAGUAAUGAGAACAAGAUAGAAAAGAAAACUAGGUAAAAGGAACCACAUGUAGUGAUAAAAAUCUAUAAAGAGGUCAACAAACCUGCUGAUAAAUUGGCUGCUAUGAGCCAUAAUUUAGAUAGAAUCCAUGUCUGCAACUCCUUUUCUGAACUCCCAAGACAAGUUAAGGGUCUUGUAAAUAUAGAUAGGUGGAACCUACCACCCUAUAGGAACAAACAAACCAAACCUUCCAACAUUAUUUAUGAACCAUCUUAAACUGGACUCUACUGUCUCUUUUUUGGUGAUUUGGUUUGUUUAGAAAAAAACAUACUAUUUGCUGGCUCUCAAUGUUCAUGUGUAAAGUU